AGUGAACGCUGGCGGCAGGCCUAAUACAUGCAAGUCGAACGGCAGCACAGCAGAGCUUGCUCUGUGGGUGGCGAGUGGCGGACGGGUGAGGAAUACGUGGGAAUCUGCCCAGUCGUGGGGAUAACGUAGGGAAACUUACGCUAAUACCGCAUGCGCCCUUCGGGGAAAGCCGGGGACCUUCGGGCCUGGCGCGAUUGGAUGAGCCCACGUCGGAUUAGCUAGUUGGCGGGGUAAAGGCCCACCAAGGCGACGAUCCGUAGCUGGUCUGAGAGGAUGAUCAGCCACACUGGAACUGAGACACGGUCCAGACUCCUACGGGAGGCAGCAGUAGGGAAUAUUGGACAAUGGGCGCAAGCCUGAUCCAGCCAUGCCGCGUGAGUGAAGAAGGCCCUCGGGUUGUAAAGCUCUUUUGUCCGGAAAGAAAAGCGCCGGGUUAAUACCCUGGUGUCCUGACGGUACCGGAAGAUAAGCACCGGCUAACUUCGUGCCAGCAGCCGCGGU
rnacentral:rRNA from 1 species